UAGCCUGUGUACCAGCAUGUCCAGUGAGUCUUCAUCUGCAGUUUUAUCUAAUCAGAGUCAGGAGUCUGGUUAUGAGAGUGGCCCAAUUCAGUCAACAACAUAUACCUCCAAAUAAUGAUCAGGGUCCUCUAUAUCACAGCUCCAUCUCUUCAUCACUCCAAAAGGACCUGACUCAGGCUAAGAAUGGUUUCAGCUCUGUGCAGGCCACAUAGUUACACAAUCUGUUGAAGGUGCUACAGGCUCUUCAGUGAAAUCUGAAUCACCUUCCACUUCUAGUAUACCCUCUCUCAACACAACAGUGCCUGCGGCUUCCUUAUUGAUGACAGCCAAUCAGUAUUCAUCCUCCUUAAGUGUCUUGAGUCAUAAUGAGAAGAUUCCAAAUACCACCACCACACAACAUAGCAGUGCAUUGUCUACACAGCAAAACACCCUUUCUUCAUCAACAUCUUCUGGGUGUACUUUGACAUCCAUUCUUUUGCAUAUAAGUGUGGAGAGUGAGUCAAAUCUACAUUAUUCCUCCAGCACUUUCUCUACCACAUCCAGCACUGUCUCUGCACCUCCCCCACUGGUUAGUAUCUCCUCCAGUCUGAAUAGUGGCAGUAGUCUUGGCCUUAGCCUGGGCAGCAACUCCACUGUUAUGGCCUCAACUCAAAGCUCAAUUGCUACAACUUCAGGAAAAGUUCCUCUCAACCUUCCUCCUGGAGUCUCACCAUUGUUGCCUAACCCAUAUAUUAUGGCUCUGGGGCUGUUACAUGCCUACUUGCCACAAGUAUAUGAUUAUGAUGAUUUACAGAUGCUUCAGACAAGAUUUCCAUUGGAUUACUACAGUAUCCUGUUUCCCACAACCAACACUCCACUUACUGGGAGGGAUGGUAACCUGACCAUCAACCCAUACUCUGGCAACCUCACCAAGUCAUGGGUAUACCUUCUCCCCAGUCCCAGCCACAACCUUGGCCCAACACCAACAGAACCAAAUGCAGAUGCACCACACCAUGCAGCAGACAUACCUGAACCCAUUACUGCCUCCUGGCUGUAGUUACACCAGCCUGCCAUACUACACCUUGUGGGUCUCAGACCUCCAUAGCACCUUCCAAUAUGGGCCUGCUGUGUCCCCUGUGGCUCCUACCUACCUCUUCCAAGCAGUAUGAUGUGAAUGUCAGUGUGAAUGCCUCAGCCACCCCUUUUCAAAAGUCGAGUGGAUAUGGGUCUCAUGGAUACAACACUGGAAGAAAAUGUCCACCCUCUUAUAACCAUUUCUGGAUGGCUGAGAGCUAAUUUAGCCCAAGCCUGGAGCCUGUGUUUUAUGUGUGUGUGUAUAAAUUUGCACUGAAGUCUUGUUUCAGAAACCAGACCACUGAGGAGGGCCUGCUGAGCUGAGGCCAUGGCCUGAGUGGCUUGAGGAAACGAUUUUGUGGAUACCUUCUGUGGAACUUGCCCUUCCCCAUUUCCCUCUCCACCAUGUGUCUGACCCUGUCUUACCCAUUUUGAGUUCAAGUGGUAUAGCUCAUCCAAAGCAUCAAUGCACACACUUGCUCUUGCUUUUGGUUUCUGGAAGGUAUCUAGUUCCAACUUGUAACAAAAUAUUUGUAGUCUUCAAUAAACUGUGGUAUUUCUUUAAAAAAAA
rnacentral:lncRNA from 1 species